rnacentral:rRNA from 1 species
GACGAACGCUGGCGGCGUGCUUAACACAUGCAAGUCGAACGGAAAGGCCCUGCUUUUGUGGGGUGCUCGAGUGGCGAACGGGUGAGUAACACGUGAGUAACCUGCCCUUGACUUUGGGAUAACUUCAGGAAACUGGGGCUAAUACCGGAUAGGAGCUCCUGCUGCAUGGUGGGGGUUGGAAAGUUUCGGCGGUUGGGGAUGGACUCGCGGCUUAUCAGCUUGUUGGUGGGGUAGUGGCUUACCAAGGCUUUGACGGGUAGCCGGCCUGAGAGGGUGACCGGCCACAUUGGGACUGAGGUACGGGCCAGACUCCUACGGGAGGCAGCAGUGGGGAAUAUUGCACAAUGGGCGGAAGCCUGAUGCAGCAACGCCGCGUGCGGGAUGACGGCCUUCGGGUUGUAAACCGCUUUCGCCUGUGACGAAGCGUGAGUGACGGUAAUGGGUAAAGAAGCACCGGCUAACUACGUG